UACGAAGGGGGCUAGCGUUGUUCGGGAUUACUGGGCGUAAAGCGCACGUAGGCGGAUAUUUAAGUCAGGGGUGAAAUCCCGGGGCUCAACCCCGGAACUGCCUUUGAUACUGGGUAUCUCGAGUCCGAGAGAGGUGAGUGGAAUUCCGAGUGUAGAGGUGAAAUUCGUAGAUAUUCGGAGGAACACCAGUGGCGAAGGCGGCUCACUGGCUCGGUACUGACGCUGAGGUGCGAAAGCGUGGGGAGCAAACAGG
rnacentral:rRNA from 1 species